UGGUUCUGGCAUCGAUGAAGAACGCAGCGAAAUGCGAUAAGUAAUGUGAAUUGCAGAAUUCAGUGAAUCAUCGAAUCUUUGAACGCACAUUGCGCCCGCUAGUAUUCUGGCGGGCAUGCCUGUUCGAGCGUCAUUUCAACCAUCAAGCCCUAGGCUUGUGUUGGGGCCCUGCGGCCGUCCGCAGCCCCCGAAAAGCAGUGGCGGGCUCGCAGUUACACCGAGCGCAGUAAUACAUCUCGCGAGGAAGUGAUUGUGGGUUCUAGCCAUUAAACCCCCUAAUUUCUCAAGGUUGACCUCGGAUCAGGUAGGAAUACCCGCUGA
rnacentral:misc_RNA from 1 species